UACGGGGGGGGUAAGCGUUGUUCGGAAUUACUGGGCGUAAAGGGCUCGUAGGCGGCCAACUAAGUCAUACGUGAAAUCCCUCAGCUUAACUGGGGAACUGCGUCUGAUACUGGGUGGCUUGAGUGCAGGAGAGGAAUGCGGAAUUCCAGGUGUAGCGGUGAAAUGCGUAGAUAUCUGGAGGAACACCGGUGGCGAAGGCGGGUCUCUGGGCCGAUACUGACGCUGAGGAGUGAAAGCGUGGGGAGCAAACAGG
rnacentral:rRNA from 1 species